ACGAACGCUGGCGGCGUGCCUAAUACAUGCAAGUUGAGCGCUGAAGGUUGGUACUUGUACCCACUGGAUGAGCAGCGAACGGGUGAGUAACGCGUGGGGAAUCUGCCUUUGAGCGGGGGACAACAUUUGGAAACGAAUGCUAAUACCGCAUAAAAACUUUAAACACAAGUUUUAAGUUUGAAAGAUGCAAUUGCAUCACUCAAAGAUGAUCCCGCGUUGUAUUAGCUAGUUGGUGAGGUAAAGGCUCACCAAGGCGAUGAUACAUAGCCGACCUGAGAGGGUGGUCGGCCACAUUGGGACUGAGACACGGCCCAAACUCCUACGGGAGGCAGCAGUAGGGAAUCUUCGGCAAUGGACGAAAGUCUGACCGAGCAACGCCGCGUGAGUGAAGAAGGUUUUCGGAUCGUAAAACUCUGUUGGUAGAGAAGAACGUUGGUGAGAGUGGAAAGCUCAUCAAGUGACGGUAACUACCCAGAAAGGGACGGCUAACUACGUG
rnacentral:rRNA from 1 species